UUGGCCUCGCUCCCCAUCCCUGCUCAACUCCGGCUCCAACACGCAGCUCCUCCGCGCUCGGCCCAGCCUUCCCGGCCUCUUCGUUUUCCCUCCUUUUUAAACUCAAUUUUAUUGUUUUAAACUCAAUUUUAUUGUUUUAAGCUCGGUUUUAUUGUUUUAAGCUCGGUUUCAGCAGCCUAACGAUGUGUAGUCGUGUUGUUUUUCCAGGUCUGUCGCUGUUCUGGGUUUCCUCCUGCGAAAUCCAAGGUCGCCUUUUCCAGGACGCGGAAGAGGAAAACUCUGCUGGCUCCUCGUCCUCCCAACCCUUUCCUUCCCCACCUGGAGGCUGAGCCGGCUUCGGGAGAAGCUCCCAGCACUGAAGUUUUCCCCUGUCCUGAACUUUGGAGAGUUGGGCUCGGAAGGGCGGAAGGAGAAGGUAAAAUGGAUUUAUUUCAUUUCAGGCAGGGCUGGCUGUGAACACGGAAUUUUGGGAUGAUUUCUCCCCAAAAAAUCCCAAUUAAUUUCACCGAAAUCCCAACAGGAAACAAUUCCAGGAUUUCACUCCCUCCCUCCCCUCCACGCCCUUUCCCCGUCCCCGCUGGGAUAAAACCAUUCCCGGGCUUUUCCCGGGAAUUCCGGCCUGGCGAAGAACACGGAAUUCCGGCUGCCGCGGCCACCGGACGCGCUGGUCCUCUGUGGGCAUCUUACUAGACAGUGCUGGAUUUUCUGCCUCUACUCUAACACUGUCUGGUAACGAUGUUUAAAGGGCGAUCCAAACCACGCCGGGCCCGCGGCUCCAGCCAGGCUGCGACUUUUCCGCAGGGUAAGGACGGAUUCGGGGAAAGCGGAAAGGGAAAACCCAAAUUUCUGUGGAAAAGGCGCCAAGAAUGGAUGGAGGCGCUCCGGAGGCGCUGCCGGGGGUUAGGCCGGGUUUAACGUCCCAAAGCCGAGGUUUGCUCUGCCUCAGAUUUGGUUGGGACAACUCAGGACGGUGACGUCUCCUUGGAAUUCCGCCAUUCCUGCCUGUGGAAGGCGGAUCGGGGCAGCUUGGAAAGGAUUUUCCCAAUUCCAAAGGGUUUUUUCCCAAUUCCAAAGGAUUUUUUUCCAAUUCCAAAGGGUUUUUUUCCAAUUCCAAAGGGUUUUUUCCCAAUUCCAAAGGGUUUUUUCCCAAUUCCAAAGGGUUUUUU